UUACGGCCACAUCACGUUGAAACACCGGUUCCUGUACGAUCGCCGAAGUUAAGCAACGUCGAACCUGGUCAGUAUCUAGAUGGUUGACCGCUUGAGAAUAGCAGGUGUUGUAA
rnacentral:rRNA from 1 species